rnacentral:rRNA from 1 species
UUUAUCGGAGAGUUUGAUCCUGGCUCAGGACGAACGCUGGCGGCGUGCCUAAUACAUGCAAGUCGAGCGGACAGAUGGGAGCUUGCUCCCUGAUGUUAGCGGCGGACGGGUGAGUAACACGUGGGUAACCUGCCUGUAAGACUGGGAUAACUCCGGGAAACCGGGGCUAAUACCGGAUGGUUGUCUGAACCGCAUGGUUCAGACAUAAAAGGUGGCUUCGGCUACCACUUACAGAUGGACCCGCGGCGCAUUAGCUAGUUGGUGAGGUAACGGC